UUUUGGACAAUGGGCGAAAGCCUGAUCCAGCAAUGCCGCGUGUGGGAAGAAGGCCUUCGGGUUGUAAACCACUUUUGUACGGAACGAAACGGUCUGCUUUAAUACAGUGGGCUAAUGACGGUACCGUAAGAAUAAGCACCGGCUAACUACGUGCCAGCAGCCGCGGUAAUACGUAGGGUGCGAGCGUUAAUCGGAAUUACUGGGCGUAAAGCGUGCGCAGGCGGUUAUAUAAGACAGUUGUGAAAUCCCCGGGCUCAACCUGGGAAUUGCAUCUGUGACUGUAUAGCUAGAGUACGGUAGAGGGGGAUGGAAUUCCGCGUGUAGCAGUGAAAUGCGUAGAUAUGCGGAGGAACACCGAUGGCGAAGGCAAUCCCCUGGACCUGUACUGACGCUCAUGCACGAAA
rnacentral:rRNA from 1 species